UUUUUUUUUUUUUUUCACUGCUGGAUACCAUACCCAAACUCUCUCUUACUCGAUCUCUCUCUUCCCUCUCGCUCAUAUCGCCCUCUCUCUCCCUCUCUCUCUCGGUCUCUCUCUUCCCAAGUUUGGACAAAAUUUUCUUUUCCCAUAGCCUUCCUCCUCAUCCUCACCCGACUGCACCCUACCAGCAGCUAUAGACCCAGGCAUCCAUGGACCGGAGAACGGGGCAAUUAAGUUUACUCUUCAACCAUGCUCCUAAUGCCAUAGUUAUGUUCUAAGAAUUAAGGUCUAAAAAUCAAGCAGGAAGAAAAAGGCUAUCAGUAUCACAUGGUUAAAAGCAGUACAGCGCACUGAACAACGAUACUACCUCAAAAUUAGUUCAGUAGUGGUCAUGGCCUCGCUUUUGCUGGUGGUGGACUGAAACUCGGGACACAAGAUCAAACUUUUUCCCUUUCUAUGAUCACUCGUCGUCGGAGUGUGACAUGCGCCUAUCACAUUAUCAGCAUCUACCGUUCCAAGAAUGAGUGCUCCAUUGACUGGGGAGCCUACACCCUUUACUGAGGCUACUCCUACGACAUCCUAGGUGGCUGCAUCAUUGACGUCAUUAGUAUUGGUUCAGCCACUCAGUGCACAGCGGUCUCACCGGCACCACGGCGAUCCGGAGCCUUCUGAUCAUCGACAGCAUUAGUUUCUAAAAUUUUCUUAAUGUUUUUUUUUUCUUCAGGAAGGCUCUAAGUUCGCAGAGAUUUGCAUGUUCAAUGACGUUUACGUUCGACCCGGUAAUGAGACCAUUGAGCACCUUCAUGCUGCUAUGGUGGAAAAGCGCACCGUUGUUCUCUAAGAAGAAGCAUUGUAACUUCCCUCGGAGACCUUGAUCAAGGACGUCACUGUACCCGAGGAUACAGGUCUUUAGAUCCUGACUGAGGUCUUGGAUCAGAAGCUCAGUCAUCGUCAUGGCAAGUUUGUUCGAUGUAUGGGGAAGGCGCAGGUUCGUGAGACAGGUGCCUCCUCUUCCAGAUCAACCAUAGGGCAAGUCAACGCCCUGAAGGAGGAAAUGGCAACCCUAAAAGGUUAGCUUGUAGCCCAGGGCAAGUAGAUGAGUAUGAUUGUAUAUGCCUUACAGAUGUCCGAUCUCCAAAUCUCGAUGUCAGCACCUGAUCUUGCUCCACCUUCGACCUCCUAGCCACUUCGCCCAGCCAAUACCCAGUAGCCUGAUGUAUCAAACCUAGAUGACUACUUGUAGUUUUUUCUUUUAUGUUCGGACAUCUUGUAUGUACAUUUUCAUAUAUUUUAUAAUUAAAUAUUUUUUCUUGGUUUA